AGUGAACGCUGGCGGUAGGCCUAACACAUGCAAGUCGAACGGCAGCACCGUAAGAGCUUGCUCUUACGGGUGGCGAGUGGCGGACGUGUGAGGAAUACAUCGGAAUCUACUUUUUCGUGGGGGAUAACGUAGGGAAACUUACGCUAAUACCGCAUACGACCUACGGGUGAAAGCAGGGGAUCUUCGGACCUUGCGCGAUUGAAUGGGCCGAUGUCGGAUUUGCUAGUUGGCGGGGUAAAGGCCCACCCAGCCGACGAUCCGUAGCUGGUCUGAGAGGAUGAUCAGCCACACUGGAACUGUGACACGGUCCAGAGUCCUAGGGGCGGCAGCAGUGGGGAAUAUUGGACAAUGGGCGCAAGCCUGAUCCAGUCAUACCGCGUGGGUGAAGAAGGCCUUCGGGUUGUAGAGCCCUUUUGUUGGGAAAGAAAAGCAGCAGGUUAAUACCCCGCUGUUCUGACGGUACUCAAAGAAUAAGCACCGGCUAACUUCGUG
rnacentral:rRNA from 1 species